GAACGACACACGGUUUCGUGCCACAAUGCCUGGGAUGUUGAUUUUUUGGAUCUUAUUUGUAUUAAUUGAUGAAUGUAUGAAUCAACAGAUCACGUAUCCUGAUAGUCAGAUCAUAAGACAAAGGGGUAGAACAGUUAGGAUGAGAUGCAAUGUGGAUACGUCCAAUGUUAUCCACUUGUACAGAGCUAAAUCAGGGGGAGCUCUCGAGAGGAUCAUGUAUUUCGAGUCCAAAACAUCAAAUAAAGAGGCCAAGUUCGAAAGAUUCAGUGGAUCUAUAAGUGGAAAUCAAGUGACACUCUCCUUCGCAGCCGCGUUAGAAGAUGCGGGGAUGUAUUACUGUGCGCUCUGGAGUUCAGACAACCACAGUGUUAACAGAGAGAGGAAAUCUUAACAAAAACCUUUUGACUUCAGUGAAAAGGUUCUAUAUCAGCAGCCCCUCAAGGGGGGGGGUCAUUUUUGAAUUGUAAAGCUGUUGUUUAAGGAACUUAAAUAUAACUUGAACUUGAA